AAAAGGAGCUGUUUCAGGGUGCGAACAUUUUUCAUUUCUGAAAGAAUCACAAAUACGAGAUGUGAUUCCAGCCAGUUCUGAGCGUGUGUGCUUAACGGAACUAUGCCGAAGAGAUCAAGACACUGAAUCUACAUUCAACAACGACCACUGGAAACAGCAGCUUCGUGUCACCCGCAUGAGAGGGCGGUGCAGACAUUUUAUCUUGCCCGGGAGCUUGGAAAAGAACCCCCCAGUACAUAGUCGUACAUUCUUCGUUGUGGGUCCUUCUAGUUGUGCCAUGUGGGACACUGCCUCAGCGUGGUUUGAUGAGCAGUGCCAUGUCCGCGCCCAGGAUUCGAACCAACGAAAUACUGGGCCGCCUGCAGCGGAGCGCGUGGACUUAACCACUCGGCCACGGGGCCAGCCCCUCCUGCCACUAUUCUUAAAAUAUAUUUAGUUUCUCCAAGAAUGCCUGCUCAGUGCACAAUACUAUCUGUUACACAUGGAUACCAGCAAUAAUACACGGGGGGCUCCGGCAUAAGAGACAGCAAGCUCUGUGCUCAUCUGCGUUCUGAGUCUCUUCCUGGAAUGGAGUUUCUGCUCACGCUGUAGCCACCGUCAGCAAUUAAAACAAAGGUGACGUGCAGAAGCCAGGGCCCUUCAUCAUGUUACUAUGGACUUGGCCCAAGAGUUGCAGAAGCCGAAGGAGGAUCCAGAGGAAAGUUGAGCAUUUGCAGGCCCAGCCCCUGCCUCAUGCCAGGGAGGAUGGAUCUUUGACUUUAAAAGAGAAAUUAGAACCCACAGCUGCACAUCUAGGUCUAAAGAUGCUGAAGAAGAUUAAACUGACAUAUCAGAGAGUUCUCUGACUCAUGGAAGAGAGGCAUCUACUCCAAGAAACUAAGCAAAAUUGUUAAUAAGAAUUGAAAAUAUGAAAAAGCUACCUUUCCCUCAGCUUUAUAGAUGUUAAAAAUUUACCUUAUGGUGUCUUAUAAAACAGAACUUUUGCAAUAGUAUUAUGGUGCCAGUAAAGUUGUGGCAUCAUUUUCAGACCAAUCAUUCAGAGUUUAAAGGAAAAGGAACUGAAUAUUUUAUACAUAGAAAAAAUUAUUUUUUUGUGUGUGUGUGGUGAGGAAGAUUGUCCCUGAGCUAACAUCUGUGCCAAUAUUCCUCUAUUUUGUAUGUGGGCCACCACCACAGCGUGACUUGAUGAGUGUUGUGUAGGUGUCCACCUGGGAUCCAAACCCAUGAACCCCGGGCUGCAGAAGUGAAGCACAUGAACUUAACCCCUAUGCCACUGGGCCAGCCCCUGGAAAAGUGAACUUUUAAUGACAAAAAUGGUUCACUACUUCACAGACCAGAAAUGAAAACAUCACUAAAGCAAUAAAGCACUUUACAGGUUAAGUUAUAUUUUGCGUUGAACAGAGACAUGCACACGAUACUUGAAAGCCUAACAAAGCCUUGUAGAGUUGACACUGCUGAAUACCUGUCAAUUUCCAACUAUACAGUUGUUUGUUGAAUUAAAAACUUAACUACAAACAUGAAGACUGAGUUUAUAUCUGCU
rnacentral:lncRNA from 1 species